GGUCUCUGUGGAGGAGCUGGCUGGCUGCAGCCUUUUUAGAAAGCUGGAUGGGGGGAGAGGCGGACCUGGGCUUUCCUGGAACUGAUUAUUUCUCGCCUUCCAGCUCCCCAGCAAAUGAAAGGGCUGGGCUGUUUGUGCUGGGAAUUUCAACCCCCAAAGAGACAGGAAGAGGCACUGCUUUUCAAAAGGCAGUUGCUAAGUGAGAAGCCUUGAGAAGGAUUUGUUGCUGUUUGAAGCUGGGAGCUUUCUUUCCAUAUUCUUCCAGGAUGUCAUGAGUAGGAAAAGAAGAGGUCAAGGUGGGAUAAUUUUGUAGGAAGUGCUCCAGGGUUCCUUAGCUCUGCACACGGUUGAAACACAUGGAAUGAGCACCCCAGUCUCCUGAGCUAGAAAGAACACAUGUCCCUAUUUCUUCAGCAAGCAAACAGCAGGGCUCGGCCAAGAGAAUGCUGACUGAGGGCAAGAUAACACAAGGACCAUUUUCCUAGAGGUGGAGGCAGAUCUUACUUCACACAUCACAAACCCCGAAAGGUAAAGGCUUUGGCUCUGCUUCACCGGGAUGGAUUACGGGCUGGGUCCCCAUCCUUCAUUCUACCCUGGACUCAGGUCUUUUUCUUCUGACUCCUUACUUUCCUUCUCCAAAAGAGCAGAGUCUGUUUCCUCAUUCUCUGACUUUGAAUGUGUCUGUGUGCCUUUCUUUGGCCAGCAACAUGAUGUGGCAGUCGCUGUGUGCCCAUUCUGGGAAAUUAGCACUAAAAGGCCUGGUGCGUUCCUACUUGCUUUGUCACAGUCCUGCCAUCGUCCUGAGAAGAUGCAAGGCUGGCCCAGCCCGGAUUCACAGAGGGAAGGGCUCAGAGGUGCUGACCCCCAGCUGGGUUAGGGAUCUGUAGCUAAUCCUCCCUCAUGCCCCAGACAAGCUGAUCUGAUGUACGGAUCCGUGACCUACACGAGGGCUGCACGUCACAUGCUCGUGCGAUUUGGGGGUUGAUUGUUACUCAGCAUUUAUAUG